GGCAGUUUAGCUUAAUGGUAAAGCACUUGACCGGUAAUCACAGGAAUGUGAGUUUUGAGUCUCAUGGCUGGCU
rnacentral:tRNA from 1 species